rnacentral:rRNA from 1 species
CCUACGGGAGGCAGCAGUGAGGAAUAUUGGUCAAUGGCCGUAAGGCUGAACCAGCCAAGUCGCGUGAAGGAUGAAGGAUCUAUGGUUUGUAAACUUCUUUUAUAGGGGAAUAAAGGUAUCCACGUGUGGAUCUUUGCAUGUACCCUAUGAAUAAGCAUCGGCUAACUCCGUGCCAGCAGCCGCGGUAAUACGGAGGAUGCGAGCGUUAUCCGGAUUUAUUGGGUUUAAAGGGUGCGUAGGUUGUUUUUUAAGUCAGCGGUGAAAGUUUGUGGCUCAACCAUGGAACUGCCGUUGAUACUGGAAGACUGGAGUGUGUUUGAGGUAGGCGGAAUGCGUGGUGUAGCGGUGAAAUGCAUAGAUAUCACGCAGAACACCGAUUGCGAAGGCAGCUUACUAAGCCAUAACUGACGCUGAGGCACGAAAGCGUGGGGAUCAAACAGGAUUAGAUACCCGUGUAGUC